AGUUAAUUAUCACAAAUGUCUAACUUGUUUUUUUUACGUUUUUUUUGGUGGCUGCUUGUCCUGGCCUUUGCCUUUAGCACUGUCAUGUUGGCGUGCUCUGGUGGACCGUCUUGGUGGUGAUGAGACUGGCGUGAUAUUUGGAGUAGUCGUACCAGAACUGCUGGUUGUUUGCUGUUGGUGCAUGCAUCUGAAAGUUUCAUUCAGCAUCUUAUACCCAAUGUCAUACUGUAUGACUCAAGUGGACAUACAUAUCUUUACUGGAUGUGGACAAGGCCAUUUAGUUUGGAUUCCAUUUCAGCUUUUACUUACUGCGUUUGAUACUCACAAUCAAGAUGAGGGGAGUGUGGAUGAGGUCUUGGAGGUGUGUCCAAAAUUUGGAGUGGGGGGACAGAACAUACGGACGAUAAUCUUCGUGGCGGGGUAGCCUGCUUUCUUUUCGGCCACAGGUUUCUUGUGGUGAUGUCUUACAGAAGAGCCACUUCUGCUGCUCCAUACUUCUUUUGAUGGACCUUUUAAUGAAAGUGCAAUUUUGUUAUGGCCAUUCCUUUACAAGCAUACCCGAUACUACAAUGGACACUUUACCUGCUUCCGCAGCGUCAUCAUCAUCAGAUGUGUUAGGAUUUACUGGCCGACGAGUAGUACUUCUUUUUUCAGACACUGUAUAAAAUGAUAUAUAUUCAUAAAUCAUGCUAUUGUGUAUACAUUCACCCAUUAUGCUUAUAAACAGUUUUACAUUUAGAAA